rnacentral:rRNA from 1 species
UACGUAGGGACCAAGCGUUGUUCGGAUUUACUGGGCAUAAAGGGCGCGUAGGCGGCUCGGUAAGUCACUUGUGAAAUCUCUGAGCUUAACUCAGAACGGCCAAGUGAUACUGCAGUGCUAGAGUGUGGAAGGGGCAAUCGGAAUUCUUGGUGUAGCGGUGAAAUGCGUAGAUAUCAAGAGGAACACCUGAGGUGAAGACGGGUUGCUGGGCCAACACUGACGCUGAGGCGCGAAAGCCAGGGGAGCAAACGGG